rnacentral:rRNA from 1 species
GCAAGAUACCACGGGCGCACGGCGGAUGCCUUGGCACAGGGAGCCGAUGAAGGACGCGGCAAGCUGCGAUAAUCCCCGGCGAGGAGCACACAUCCUUCGACCCGGGGGUCUCCGAAUGGGCGAACCCAUCCGUAGCAGUACGGAUAUCCCGAUCCUGAACACAUAGGGGCCGGGAGGACAACCCGGGGAACUGAAACAUCUAAGUACCCGGAGGAGAGGAAAUCAAUCUCGAGACUCCCCGAGUAGCGGCGAGCGAAAGGGGACCGAUGGCCAAACCGUCGAGCGGGCAUACCCGGCAGGGGUUCCGCCGGCGGGGUUGCAGGGCCGCGCAUCCGGGGGCUGCCGCCCCCGGGCGCAGGUCCGGCUGGGGAGCGGAACGGCAUGGGAGGGCCGGCCGCAGCGGGUGAAAGCCCCGUACGCGAACCCAGACCGGACGGCGCGACGCGGUCCCUGAGUAGGGCCGGGCACGUGAAACCCGGUCCGAACCUGGGUGGACCACCAUCCAAGCCUGAGUACUACCCUGUGACCGAUAGCGCACCAGUACCGUGAGGGAAAGGUGAAAAGCACCCCGGGAGGGGAGUGAAACAGUACCUGAAACCGUGCGCCCACGAGCAGUCGGAGCACCUAUACGGUGUGACGGCGUGCCUUUUGUAGAAUGAGCCAGCGAGUCGCUGGCGCGGGGCGAGGUUAACCGAAAGGGAGCCGGAGCGAAAGCGAGCCUUAACAGGGCGACUUGAGUCCCGCGCCGCGGACGCGAAGCCGGGUGAGCUAUCCGUGGGCAGGCUGAAGCGGGGGUAAGACCCCGUGGAGGGCCGAACGCACGUCGGUUGAAAACGGCGGCGAUGACCUGCGGAUAGGGGUGAAAGGCCAAUCAAACCCGGAGAUAUCUCGUUCUCCCCGAAAUAGCUUUAGGGCUAGCGUCGCGCGUUCACCGCCGGAGGUAGAGCACCGGAUGGACGAGGGGGCUUCGCCGCCUACCGAAUCCAACCGAACUCCGAAUGCCGGCGGCCCAGAGCGCGGCAGUCAGAGCAUGUGGGCUAAGCUGUGUGCUCGAGAGGGAAACAGCCCGGACCGCCCGCUAAGGUCCCCAAGUUCCAGCCGAGUGGCAAAGGAUGUGCGUCCGCCCAGACAACCAGGAUGUUGGCUUAGAAGCAGCCAUGCAUUCAAAGAGUGCGUAACAGCUCACUGGUCGAGUGGACAUGCGCCGACAAUACACGGGGCUAAGCUGGACACCGAAGCGGCGGGAUUUUAUCUAUAUAGAAUCGGUAGGGGAGCUUCCCAUGGGCGGUGAAGCCGCCGGGCGACCGGCGGUGGAGCGCAUGGGAGUGAGAAUGCUGGCAUGAGUAGCGAGAGACGAGAGAGUAACUCGUCCGCCGUGAACCCGAGGUUUCCUGGGCAAGGCUAAUCCUCCCAGGGUCAGUCGGGGGCUAAGGCGAGGCCGGAAGGCGUAGCCGACGCGCAGCAGGCAGACAUUCCUGCACCGCGCACGCGGCGCUACGACCGACGGGGCGACGGAUGGGGGUGGCUCGGCGGGGUUCUGGACGUCCCCGUGAUGGAGCGCGGCCCGCGGACCAGGGAAAUCCGGUCCGCACACAGGGCGAGGCUCCGGACGAAGCAUCUGAGCGAAGCGAGUGAGCCCGAGGUCCCUAGAAAAACCCCUAGGCAGGCGCGUGCGCGCCCGUACCGCAAACCGACACAGGUGGGUGGGUAGAACAUACCGAGGCGAUCGGGUCAACCAUGGUCAAGGAACUCGGCACAAUGGCCCCGUAACUUCGGGAGAAGGGGUGCCCGCGCGUACGUGAACGGACUUGCUCCGGGAGCGGAGGCGGGCCGCAGUGGAGAGGCCCAAGCGACUGUUUACCAAAAACACAGGACUCUGCAGAAGCCGCAAGGCGACGUAUAGGGUCUGACGCCUGCCCGGUGCCGGAAGGUCACGCGGAGGAGUUAGCUUUCGAGCGAAGCCCCGAAGCCAAGCCCCGGUAAACGGCGGCCGUAACUAUAACGGUCCUAAGGUAGCGAAAUUCCUUGUCGGGUAAGUUCCGACCUGCACGAAAGGCGCAACGACUUGGGCGCUGUCUCGACCAUGGACCCGGUGAAAUUGCACUGGUCGUGAAGAUGCGACUUACCCGCGGAAGGACGGAAAGACCCCGUGAACCUUCACUGCAGCUUGGCAUUGGCCGCUGGUCCCGCGUGUAGAGGAUAGGCAGGAGGCACAGAUCCGGAGGCGCCAGCCCCCGGGGAGCCGCCCUUGGAAUACUGCCCUCGCGCGACCGGCGUCCUAACCCGAGGCCGUCAACCGGCUCGGGGACCGUGCCAGGCGGGCAGUUUGACUGGGGCGGUCGCCUCCUAAAGGGUAACGGAGGCGCGCGAAGGUCCGCUCGGGACGGUCGGCAACCGUCCUUUUGAAUGCAAGAGUACAAGCGGGCUUGACUGCGAGGCCCACAAGCCGAGCAGGUGCGAAAGCAGGCUCUAGUGAUCCGGCGGCCCCGAGUGGGUGGGCCGUCGCUCAACGGAUAAAAGGUACUCCGGGGAUAACAGGCUGAUCUUGCCCAAGAGUCCACAUCGACGGCAAGGUUUGGCACCUCGAUGUCGGCUCAUCGCAUCCUGGGGCUGGAGCAGGUCCCAAGGGUACGGCUGUUCGCCGUUUAAAGCGGUACGCGAGCUGGGUUCAGAACGUCGUGAGACAGUUCGGUCCCUAUCC